AACGAACGCUGGCGGCGUGCCUAAGACAUGCAAGUCGUGCGGAAAGGCUCCUUCGGGAGUACUCGAGCGGCGCACGGGUGAGUAACACGUGGGUAAUCUACCUGAGGGUCUGGGAUAACUCCGGGAAACUGGGGCUAAUACCGGAUGAGACCACAGCGUCUUUGGACGCAGCGGUCAAAGAUGGCCUCUCCUUGGAAGCUAUCGCCUACAGAUGAGCCCGCGUCCCAUUAGCUAGUUGGCGGGGUAACGGCCCACCAAGGCGACGAUGGGUAGCUGGUCUGAGAGGAUGAUCAGCCACACUGGAACUGAGACACGGUCCAGACUCCUACGGGA
rnacentral:rRNA from 1 species